UGCUGACCAGCUAGCCCACCCUAACAAAAACAACAACCCAAUAUAAAUAACCCCAAACACACUACUCCUCCUAUAAACAAACCAUUUUACCCCCCUAGUAUGGGCGACAGAAAAGGAACUAUUGGAGCGAUAGAGAAAGUACCGCAAGGGAACGCUGAAAGAGAAAUGAAAUAACCCAGUAAAGCCUAAAAAAGCAGAGAUUUUACCUCGUACCUUUUGCAUCAUGAUUUAGCUAGUACUACCCAAGCAAAGAGAACUUUAGUUUGGACCCCCGAAACUAGGUGAGCUACUCCAAGACAGCCUAUCAAUAGGGCAAACCCGUCUCUGUGGCAAAAGAGUGGGAAGAGCUUUGAGUAGAGGUGACAGACCUACCGAACCUAGUUAUAGCUGGUUGCCUGAGAAUUGGAUAGGAGUUCAGCCUCCAGGCUUCUCUAUUCACCGCGGUCUUACCCCUACCGAUGCACUAAAGAAGCCUAGAGAGUUAAUCAAAGGGGGUACAGCCCCUUUGAGACAAGAUACAACUUUUCCAGGAGGGUAAAGAUCAUAUUUACCCAAGGUAACAAUGCCCAGGUGGGCCUAAAAGCAGCCAUCCUUACAGAAAGCGUUAAAGCUCAAGCAUUACACCUUCCCACAUAUUCAGAUAACCAUAUCCCAACCCCCUAAUAUUAUCAGGCCAUCUCAUGCAUACAUGAGAGUGCACAUGCUAAUAUGAGUAACAAGAGAGCCUCCGCCUCUCUCCUUGCACACGUGUAAAUCGGAACGAACCCCCACCGAAACUUAACGGCCCCAAACAAAGAGGGCAAUGAACAACAAGUAAGCAACCAGAAAACCAUCCAAAAAACAACCGUUAACCCCACACUGGUGUGCCAUUAAGGAAAGACUAAAAGAAAAAGAAGGAACUCGGCAAACAUACCAAGCCUCGCCUGUUUACCAAAAACAUCGCCUCUUGCAAAAACAAAGAAUAAGAGGUCCAGCCUGCCCUGUGACUAUAUGUUUAACGGCCGCGGUAUUUUAACCGUGCGAAGGUAGCGCAAUCACUUGUCUUUUAAAUGGAGACCUGUAUGAAUGGCAUUACGAGGGCUUAACUGUCUCCUUUUUCUAGUCAGUGAAAUUGAUCUCCCCGUGCAGAAGCGGGGAUGUAACCAUAAGACGAGAAGACCCUAUGGAGCUUUAGACACCAAGGCAUAUCAUGUCAAACACCCCUAAACAAAGGACUAAACCAAAUGAAUCAUGCCCCCAUGUCUUUGGUUGGGGCGACCGCGGGGAAAUAAAAAACCCCCACGUGGAAUGGGAGUACUACCUCCUACAACCAAGAGCUGCAGCUCUAAAAAACAGAAUAUCUGACCAAUAAGAUCCGGCAACGCCGAUCAACGGACCGAGUUACCCUAGGGAUAACAGCGCAAUCCCCUUUUAGAGCCCAUAUCGACAAGGGGGUUUACGACCUCGAUGUUGGAUCAGGACAUCCUAAUGGUGCAGCCGCUGUUAAGGGUUCGUUUGUUCAACGAUUAAAGUCCUACGUGAUCUGAGUUCAGACCGGAGUAAUCCAGGUCAGUUUCUAUCUAUGAUAUGUUCUUUUCUAGUACGAAAGGACCGAAAAGAAGAGGCCAAUGCUAAAAGCACGCCUCACCCCUCCUAUUGAAAACAACUAAAAUAGGCAAAAGGGCAUACCCCUCCACGCCCAAGAUAAUGGCAU
rnacentral:rRNA from 1 species